rnacentral:rRNA from 1 species
AUUUGGUAAAGACAAUGAUUAGAGGUAUUAGGUCGAAAUGGUCUUAACCUAUUCUCAAAACUUUAAAUGGGUAACUAGGGGUUGGUUUCUUAAUUGAACCUUCCCCAUAAAUAUAAAGCUUUUAGUGGACCACUUUUGGUAAGCAGAACUGGUGAUGUGGGAUGAACCAAACGCUUGGUUAAAGAGUCAAAAUGGGAGUUAAUUGAGAUACCAUGAAGGGUGUUGAUUCAUAUCGACAGCAGGACGGUGGCCAUGGAAGUCGGAAUCCGCUAAGGAGUGUGUAACAACCUCACCUGCCGAAUGGAUUAGCCCCGAAAAUUGAUGACGCUCAAACUCUCUUCUUAAACCGGGCCCUUAUCGCACCCUUAUUAGGAUGUAUGCUUUAAGGAGUAGACGAACGUGGAGGUGGCGAAAAAGCUCCAGGGGUGACCCGGGGUGAAGCCGCCUCUAGUGCAGAUCUUGGUGGUAGUAGCAAAUAUUUAGGUGUAGAAGCCUAAGGGCC